CAAAAGUAGAAAUAAAAUUGGUUUUCUCUGCCGUGGCUGGUCUGAAGCCUGGCUAAAAAAGAAGAGUUGGGUAUUGGACCAGCAACCUUAGCCCACUAAAAUCACACUGGUACAAUAAGAGCAAUAAAAGGGUUCGCCUUUGAGGUACCCCAGUACUUCAUCUUCCCUUGUCUCCUACAUAUGUGGGAUGAGGAUAUGAGGUGAUCGCCUAAGGAAGCACUUUGAGAAGGAUGCCAUUUUCAUGGAAACAUACGUAUAUUUUUAACAUUACAAAAUGGUUCCCUAGGAUGCUGGGCCAUCUGCCCAUCACUGUAACAGACAGCCCUCAGCCCUGUAAAGGUGGGGACAGCCCACAGUUCCUUGUGGAUCAUUCGUAUGAACCAGGGACUGCCUCCAAACUUGAAUUAUGGAAUGCUCUAAGGGAAUUCCUAGCUGGAUGGCCUUCCUAAAGAUAAUGAUACUUCAAAGUUGUGCUUACAACACCCCGUCAUUACAUUCCAAACCUUAUGACAAAAAUAAAGGAAUCAACAAGACUUCAGAACUGAGAGAAAAUUGAGCAAACCCUCCAUUGUGAUGAUACGAUUGCUCAGCUCAUAUUUACAUUUGAAGACUGUAACUGGAUGGUGUUGUAAUUAAAACGCUUAUGUGCUUGAGUACCAGAAUUGCUUUAUUUGCUAUUUAAAUUGUACACCUAAACGCAUUUAUACAAACAUCUACUACGCAACAGAGUGAGAGAAAGAAAGGCUCUACUUACAUCUUGUCUCCUUCCAUCUCCUGAAUUUCUGCACAUGCAGUCAUCAUAACAAGUUAACGUAUUUAUUGCAACUCAACAAAAAAAACUGAAAGCUAAGAAAAGCAAAAAAAUAAAUAAAGGAAUCCAGAUUUUCCCCAAGCUUAGUGCCACACGACCUGUCAGCAAGAAUAGAAUUCAGUGUGCAGACAUGUGCUACCAAAGUCACUAGCUUGGCAAAGAAAGCUCAUUAAACCAGUGACAAUCAUCUGAACAAAGCUGCCAUACAUCGGCUAUUCAUUGUCGUCUGUGUACAAAUGGGAAAAGCGAACGAACAAGGAAUGUGCAAACAUUAUUUCCUUUAUAGUAGUCAGCCAAGAAGAAGAAGAACCACAUAACAUUUCGCAAAUAUGAUGUCCUUGUUUAAAAGAAAUGCAAUCCAUGGAAAAGAUGUGUUAAUCUUAGCAAGAAAAUCAUUGUUAUUCAGCCAUUAAAAUGUAAAAUAUUGAGUAUAAAAUCGUCACAGUUUCCUAUCCAUUUUUCUUACGGCCAUAAUUAACUAUGACCUAUUAUUCCA